rnacentral:misc_RNA from 1 species
GAAAUGCGAUAAGUAGUGUGAAUUGCAGAAUUUAGCGAAUCAUCGAAUCUUUGAACGCACAUUGCGCCCCUUGGUAUUCCAUGGGGCAUGCCUGUUCGAGCGUCAUUUCAACCCUCAAGCACUGCUUGGUGUUGGGCGUUUGUCCCGCCUACGCGCGUGGACUCGCCUCAAAGUCAUUGGCGGCUUUUCCCCUUCGGCUCGUAAGCGCAGCACAGUCGGCGCCCGGAGCUCUGGUGGGAUGGCGUCCAGCAAGCUAUAUUUUCAGGCUUGACCUCGGAUCAGGUAGGGAUACCCGCUGAACUUAAGC